UACGAAGGGGGCUAGCGUUGCUCGGAAUCACUGGGCGUAAAGGGCGCGUAGGCGGCCGGCCAAGUCGGGGGUGAAAGCCUGUGGCUCAACCACAGAAUGGCCCUCGAUACUGGCUGGCUCGAGACCGGAAGAGGUUGGUGGAAUUGCGAGUGUAGAGGUGAAAUUCGUAGAUAUUCGCAAGAACACCGGUGGCGAAGGCGGCCAACUG
rnacentral:rRNA from 1 species